GAUGAAGAACGUAGCGAAAUGCGAAAAGUAGUGUGAAUUGCAAAUUCAGUGAAUCAUCGAGUCUUUGAACGCACAUUGCGCCCCCUGGUAUUCCGGGGGGCAUGCCUGUCCGAGCGUCAUUGCUGCCCUCAAGCACGGCUUGUGUGUUGGGCCCCGUCCUCCGAUCCCGGGGGACGGGCCCGAAAGGCAGCGGCGGCACCGCGUCCGGUCCUCGAGCGUAUGGGGCUUUGUCACCCGCUCUGUAGGCCCGGCCGGCGCUUGCCGAUCAACCCAAAUUUUUAUCCAGGUUGACCUUGGAUCAGGUAGGGAUACCCGCUGAACUUAAGCAUAUCAAUAAGCGGAGGA
rnacentral:misc_RNA from 1 species